AUUGAACGCUGGCGGCAUGCCUUACACAUGCAAGUCGAACGGCAGCGGACCUUCGGGUGCCGGCGAGUGGCGAACGGGUGAGUAAUGCAUCGGAACGUACCUUUCAGUGGGGGAUAACGUAGCGAAAGUUACGCUAGUACCGCAUAUUCUGUGAGCAGGAAAGCAGGGGAUCGCAAGACCUUGCGCUGAUUGAGCGGCCGAUGUCAGAUUAGCUAGUUGGUGAGGUAAAGGCUCACCAAGGCGACGAUCUGUAGCGGGUCUGAGAGGAUGAUCCGCCACACUGGAACUGAGACACGGUCCAGACUCCUACGGGAGGCAGCAGUGGGGAAAUUUGGACAAUGGGGGCAACCCUGAUUCAGCCAUGCCGCGUGAGUGAAGAAGGCCUUCGGGUUGUAAAGCUCUUUCGGCCGGGAAGAAAUCGCACGGGCUAAUACCCUGUGUGGAUGACGGUACCGGAAUAAGAAGCACCGGCUAACUACGUGCCAGCAGCCGCAGUAAGAC
rnacentral:rRNA from 1 species